GAUGAACGCUGGCGGCGUGCCUAAUACAUGCAAGUCGAGCGAACAGACGAGGAGCUUGCUCCUCUUACGUUAGCGGCGGACGGGUGAGUAACACGUAGAUAACCUACCUAUAAGACUGGGAUAACUUCGGGAAACCGGAGCUAAUACCGGAUAAUAUAGUGAACCGCAUGGUUCAUUAGUGAAAGAGGGAUUUGCUGUCCCUUAUAGAUGACUCCGCGCCGCAUUAGCUAGUUGGUAAGGUAACGGCUUACCAAGGCAACGAUGCGAAGCCGACCUGAGAGGGUGAUCGGCCACACUGGAACGGAGACACGGUCCAGACUCCUACGGGAGGCAGCAGUGGGGAAUUUUCGGCAAUGGGCGAAAGCCUGACGGAGCAAGGCCGCGUGAGUGAUGAAGGUCUUCGGAUCGUAAACCUCUGUUAUUAGGGAAGAACAGAUGUAUAAUUAAAUAUUCACGUCUUGACGGUACCUAAUCAGAAAGCCACGGCUAACUACGUG
rnacentral:rRNA from 1 species